AGACACAUGUACCACAACCUGGAGGGGGAAGUAUUUAGAAUUAUACCAAAAGGUAUUUUACUUACCGUACUAAAAAGUAUAAACUAUUAAUCAGAAGGCAAAAUGAAUGCAUCAUUCUUGCAUGAAAUAUGAUACAGUAGGCAGUUUAUAGAGUUUAUGUGAAUAUUUAGAGAGAAAAUGAAUUCCUAUUAGCCCUCUACAUAUACAGUGUGUCAUGUGUCUGCAAAUCGUUGUACAAGUGACAAGGUUUUAAAUGAAUCUUUUUCAUUUUAUUUGAAUUUAAUUGACAGUUUGGUUUGUAGCUUUUGGAAGAGGUGAUAUCGUGGAUGCGAGAGGGAACUGAAAUAAACGGGAAGAUUUAAUAUCUGUUUAUUACAUACAAUAUAAUUUAGAAACCUUAUUUCAUUUAAAUAGAAAUAAGGUUUCUAAAUUAUAUUGUAAAAUAUAAGGAGGUAAAAAUCGGCGGCGUGGUAAGAACGAGAACGAGUCAGAGAAGAGAGCUGGUUUUCAAGGAGGAUGGCCUGGGUCUGAAUCAACACAUCUGACAUUAUCCUUAUUGGUCUUAGAGAUUAUCAGGAUACCAAAGCAGAUGUUAUUUUAAAGUACAAUGCAGAUGAGGCCUGCAGUCUUAAGGCCUACGGAGAGCUUCCAGAACACGGUGAGUCUCAAACUGGCCUUACUCAGUUUCUUUAACUUCUGUUUACUGGAAAUGUUUUAUGGAAAUGUCAUGUUACUAAAACCAAUCACCCUCAAUUCUAAGUGUCAGAUGAUGUAGAUGUAUGCAAGUAAAGACUCAAAAAGACUAAAAUCAAUGAAACUGACACAUUUGGACCUGGAGACGAUGAUGAGAUUCAGUUUGAUGAUAUUGGGAAUGAUGAUGAGGACAUUGAUGAUAUCUGAUUCAGGGCUGCUGGUGGCUUAUAUAAUUUACACUGAGAGGAGAGAUAAUUUCCUUUUUGGGGAAUAAUUGCAACUUUGACAUAACUGAUGCCUCAUAUCCUGCAACCUCCCUCACAGAAAAACUUGGAGAGUCAUUACUUAUCUGUUUCUCUAUCCACCACGUAAUCUCACUACAAGGCAUCUCCGAGCAUUCUGGCUUUGACACAAAUCGCUCUCUUUCACAUUUAAUACAACCACACAACAUAGACUACGUAGUUUUGUUAUGAUUUUCAAGAAUUUAUAUUAUAUUCCACUGUAUGUGGUGGAAUUUAAAAUGCAAAGAAAAUCCAGAAUUUGCAGUUCUGUUAUAUAUAAUUCUUUGCAUUUAAUUUUCUCCAAGUAAACGGUAUCUUCAUCAUGGCAUUUGCAUGCAUCUCUGCUGUGAAAUAAAAAUGAAUUUGUUGUUGUCCCCCUCAGUUUGCAAUGAAGUGAAUGCAAAAAAUACUUUCAAAACCUUAUAUAGACGUUUCUGUCCUUGAAAAACACUACACGAAUCUUGUAGAUUACAAUCUGCAACUAGACGGAUGUACGGUUACUUCCUCUA